GACGAACGCUGGCGGCGUGCUUAACACAUGCAAGUCGAACGGAAAGGCCCUGCUUUUGUGGGGUGCUCGAGUGGCGAACGGGUGAGUAACACGUGAGUAACCUGCCCUUGACUUUGGGAUAACUUCAGGAAACUGGUGCUAAUACCGGAUAGGAGCUCCUGCUGCAUGGUGGGGGUUGGAAAGUUUCGGCGGUUGGGGAUGGACGCGCGGCUUAUCAGCUUGUUGGUGGGGUAGUGGCUUACCAAGGCUUUGACGGGUAGCCGGCCUGAGAGGGUGACCGGCCACAUUGGGAACGGGAUACGGCCCAGAGGCCUACGGGAGGAAGCAGUGGGGAAUAUUGCACAAUGGGCGGAAGCCUGAUGAAGCAACGCGGCGUGCGAGAUGACGGCAUUCGGGUGGUAAACCGCUUUCGCCUGUGACGAAGCGUGAGUGACGGUAAUGGGAAAAGAAGCACCGGCUAACUACG
rnacentral:rRNA from 1 species